GAAACCGAAGGUGCUGACACGCUAAGGAGAAACACACAUUUCAAUAUAUUUAGUUACGAAUCUCUUGAUUCGUAAUUGGCUUAUUAUUAUUUAUAAAUUUUAGAGGAGCAAUAAAGAUCUCUAACGACUUAUACAUUGGACACUUAUUCAUUUUACCUUUGGCUAAAUUUUAGAUACGCUUGUCGCUAAUAUGAAGUUCAUAAAAACGUUACCAUGGUAUGUUUAAAGGAUUAUCUUUAAGAAAUUUUC
rnacentral:lncRNA from 1 species